rnacentral:rRNA from 1 species
GAUGAACGCUGGCGGCGUGCCUAAUACAUGCAAGUCGAGCGAACAGACGAGGAGCUUGCUCCUCUGACGUUAGCAGCGGACGGGUGAGUAACACGUGGAUAACCUACCUAUAAGACUGGGAUAACUUCGGGAAACCGGAGCUAAUACCGGAUAAUAUAUUGAACCGCAUGGUUCAAUAGUGAAAGACGGUUUUGCUGUCACUUAUAGAUGGAUCCGCGCCGCAUUAGCUAGUUGGUAAGGUAACGGCUUACCAAGGCAACGAUGCGUAGCCGACCUGAGAGGGUGAUCGGCCACACUGGAACUGAGACACGGUCCAGACUCCUACGGGAGGCAGCAGUAGGGAAUCUUCCGCAAUGGGCGAAAGCCUGACGGAGCAACGCCGCGCGAGUGAUGAAGGUCUUCGGAUCGUAAAACUCUGUUAUUAGGGAAGAACAAAUGUGUAAGUAACUAUGCACGUCUUGACGGUACCUAAUCAGAAAGCCACGGCUAACUACGUG